rnacentral:rRNA from 1 species
UACGGGGGGGGCAAGCGUUGUUCGGAAUUACUGGGCGUAAAGGGCUCGUAGGCGGCCAACUAAGUCGGAUGUGAAAUCCCCAGGCUCAACCUGGGAACUGCAUCCGAUACUGGAUGGCUUGAAUUCGGGAGAGGGAUGCAGAAUUCCAGGUGUAGCGGUGAAAUGCGUAGAUAUCUGGAGGAACACCGGUGGCGAAGGCGGCAUCCUGGACCAAUAUUGACGCUGAGGAGCGAAAGCCAGGGGAGCAAACGGG